CGGUUAAAGUCCGCCUAAAUUUGUUCCAGGUUAAGCCUAGCUUAACUGAUGAGUAAGUUUAUUUGCGAACUUAACACAACCUAAUUGUUUUCAUCCAAGAUAGCUCAAGGAGAACUACAACUACUUACUAAGCUACAAUGAACUUUCAUAUCCCUUUCCAUAUCAAUUUCACAGACUUCCAGAUUGCUAAGAACUCUACCUGUUAAACAUUACAUUCACCCGAAAGUCUAUACGAUUUAAAGCACAAAUUAUAGCUUUAUUGAGGGCAAUGAUGGAUCAGACUACCGAUGUGUUAAUUUACGAGUCGAUUGUGUAUGGCAACUGGCAACGCACCUGAAGUGGCAACCUACAUACGUAAUCGACCCACUGGUCUAUUAUGUCGCUGUGCUGCACACCUUUGAGUUUUAUUGAGGGUUAUUCUAUAACUAAUCUUCCUCUUACUAAUGUGUAAAUCCAGUCUACCAAUUAAGAUAUUACAGCGUUUCUCUAUGGAUAUUACAUAGUUAAGAAAAUCAAAAUAAAAUGCUUGCUUUAGCAUUUGAUUUGCGCAGAAUUCUUAUAUUAUGUCCAUCUAUCACUGAAUGCAUUCUGGGCCUGAGUACCUUACAAGUGUGUGCUCAUAUAAACAUUGUCCUAUAGACAAAUUAUUACCUUUAAGAAAGACCUAUAGAGGAAAAGACAGCCAAAAGGAGUUACUGACAGCUUAUUCCAGUAACUCCCAAUUCUUUUACAUAAGUAUAAGUGUGUUACUAUUAAAUAUCUUGUCAUGUGACAUUCAUGGACUAGUUCUGAGAUUCAUUGGAUACGAAUGGAAA